AUUGGACGCUGGCGGCAUGCUUUACACAUGCAAGUCGAACGGUAACAGGGUGCUUGCACCGCUGACGAGCGGCGAACGGGUGAGUAAUGCGUCGGAACGUGCCGAGUAGUGGGGGAUAACGCAGCGAAAGUUGUGCUAAUACCGCAUACGUACUGAGGUAGAAAGUGGGGGACCUUCGGGCCUCACGCUAUUCGAGCGGCCGACGUCUGAUUAGCUAGUAGGUGAGGUAAAGGCUCACCUAGGCGACGAUCAGUAGCGGGUCUGAGAGGAUGAUCCGCCACACUGGGACUGAGACACGGCCCAGACUCCUACGGGAGGCAGCAGUGGGGAAUUUUGGACAAUGGGCGAAGCCUGAUUCAGCCAUGCCGCGUGUCUGAAGAAGGCCUUCGGGUUGUAAAGGACUUUUGUCAGGGAGGAAAUCCCUAGUGCUAAUAACACUGGGGGAUGACAGUACCUGAGGAAUAAGCACCGGCUAACUACGUGCCAGCAGCCGCAGUAA
rnacentral:rRNA from 1 species